CCUACGGGAGGCAGCAGUGAGGGAUAUUGGUCAAUGGACGAAAGUCUGAACCAGCCAAGUAGCGUGAAGGAUGACUGCCCUAUGGGUUGUAAACUUCUUUUAUAUGGGAAUAAAAUAUUCCACGUGUGGGAUUUUGUAUGUACCAUAUGAAUAAGGAUCGGCUAACUCCGUGCCAGCAGCCGCGGUAAUACGGAGUAUCCGAGCGUUAUCCGGAUUUAUUGGGUUUAAAGGGCGCGUAGGUGGAUUGUUAAGUCAGUUGUGAAAGUUUGCGGCUCAACCGUAAAAUUGCAGUUGAAACUGGCAGUCUUGAGUACAGGAGAGGUGGGCGGAAUUCGUGGUGUAGCGGUGAAAUGCGUAGAUAUCACGAAGAACUCCGAUGGCGAAGGCAGUCCACUGGACUGCAACUGACAUUGAGGCUCGAAAGUGUGGGGAUCAAACAGGAUUAGAUACCCUAGUAGUC
rnacentral:rRNA from 1 species